rnacentral:rRNA from 1 species
UACGUAGGGUGCGAGCGUUAAUCGGAAUUACUGGGCGUAAAGCGUGCGCAGGCGGUUCGUUGUGUCCGAUGUGAAAGCCCCGGGCUUAACCUGGGAAUGGCAUUGGAAACUGGCGAGCUUGAGUGCGGCAGAGGGGGGUGGAAUUCCGCGUGUAGCAGUGAAAUGCGUAGAGAUGCGGAGGAACACCGAUGGCGAAGGCAGCCCCCUGGGUCGACACUGACGCUCAGGCACGCAAGCGUGGGGAGCAAACAGG